GCAGGCGUUGCGAGCCUGGAUGGGAGAGAUGCUGGGAGUGCGCCAGUACCCAGCGUUUCGGACAGUCUUCCAGCCCACCCUGCCCUCUAACCAAAGGGGAGGGAGGCAGCGCUGAAGGGAAGCGCUUUGUCUCCUUGACAACUGUGUGGGUGGGGUGGAGGCGUGAGGAAACCGCUUUGCCUCCUGGCUUGCCCGCCCCUGCGCUGGGCCGCUCCAGAGCUUCCCACCUCGCACCCCUAGAGGCUUGGCGUCCUGGGGAUGUCCCGCCCCGGGCGGAUGCAGUAACCAUAGCGACCCACAAGCCUUCCAAUCACGCCUUGGGGGUCCCUCUGUGCGCACCUUUACCUCGAGGAGCGGGGAAAAUAAGAGGGAAGAGCUUCCUGGCUGGUAGGAAGGGAGAUCCUGACGCCGGCACGACUUUAAGGAAGGGAGAUCCUGACGCCGGCACGACUUUAAGCAAGUGCAUGGAGACAGGAAUGAAGCCAGAACGCAGCAGCAGCUGGAUUCAUAUUUGACUGAAUGACUGGGGACAGCGGCCUAGACAAGCUGACAUGUGAAACUGACCAUUGCAACCAGAGACAUAAUAAACAACUCAGCCAUGUGGCAUGUUAGAUGGUGCCGCUGAGGACAAAGCCAGAUGAGAGGAUGGAAACAGAGGCCGGACGCAGUGGCUCACGUUGUAAUCUCAGCACUUUGGGAAGCCGAGAAGGGCAGAUCACCUGAGGUCAGGAGUUCAAGACCAGCCUGGCCAACAUGGCGAAGCCCCAUCUCCACUAAGAAAAUAUAUAUGUAUAUAUAUAAAAUUAGCCGGGUGUGAGGCCCUCUGGAGCCUGAGGCAGGAGAAUCA